GCGCAGAGUAGAAGCGUUCAGUCCACCGGCCUUCGUCCACCCCCUGGCGAAGCCGGCCGCGACGGGAAAUUGCUCUUCGG
rnacentral:ncRNA from 1 species